GUGCUUUUGCUUCAGCAGGACACACACUAAAACUGGAACCAUACGGAGAUUAGCAUGGCCCCUGCCCAAGGAUGACACACAGAUUCAUGAAGCGUUCCAGAUCAAG
ensembl:snRNA U6 U6 spliceosomal RNA